ensembl:lncRNA RP9P RP9 pseudogene
GGUGUGGGCGUCGCCUCUUUUGGGGAAGCCAAGAGUUAUUGGCGCUUGCUCGGCAUUUGUGGACCGAACAGGCAAGUUCAACCGAGCACGCUGCCCCCGCGCUCCACCUCUGAGUUCCCUGGGCCACUGCGACAUGGAGAAACCCCGUUCUUUUCAUCCUCUGCUACGGAGAAGGGACGAGGACACGGGUCCUGCAGUGUUGGUGUGGCGAGGCCCGGAAGAAGAGAGAAUGGGCGGCGGGGACUGGCCACGGCGCUGCUAGAAAGGGUCUCACCUGUGGCCAGGAGCGGUGGCUCACGCCUGUAAUCCCAGCACUUUGAGAGGCCGCGGUGGACAGAUCACGAGUUAUGAAAAACCUCCUCCUGGGCUUAUCAAGGUUGGCAUUGCAAAUGGUAUGGUCACCGAACAGGCUACAAAGAAUGCCCUUUCUUUAUCAAAGACAACCAAAAGUUACAACAGUUCAGAGUAGCACAUGAGGAUUUCAUGUAUGACAUCAUACGAGACAAUAAACAACAUGAAAAGAAUGUAAGGAUACAGCAGUUAAAACAGUUACUGGAGGAUUCUACCUCAGGUGAAGAUAGGAGCAGCUCCAGUUCCUCUGAAGGUAAAGAGAAACACAAGAAAAAGAAGAAGAAAGAAAAGCAUAAGAAAAGGAAGAAAGAAAAGAAAAAGAAGAAAAAACGGAAGCACAAAUCUUCCAAGUCAAAUGAGGGUUCUGACUCAGAGUGACAAGGAUGUGACUUGUUCAACAUUCUCUUCUCAAACACUGACCAAGGAACAGAGGAAGAUGCAGUCAGAGAAAGUAGCAGGAUAGAGACGCCGAGAGAGGAGUAUAUGUGGGUCACAGCAGUGAGCUCCCACCCGCCUUGCAGUGAAGAUGUGACCCCAGGAGAGGGAGUGUCUCCUUCCAGGUGCUAGCUCUGGACAGCAGCUGAUUUUAGGCAGGAAAGUUUCUUCAUCGUUGUCCUCCCUGCUGGUCACAUGAGUUUACGAUUCCUUAGAAGUGUCUCCCACAGGGUGGCAGGACUGGGAGAAUCUCUGAGGCGUGUCUUCCAGGCCCUCCCACAGCUUGUGCCCUCCACAGUGUAGACUUGAACACUUGGCCUCAUGUGAUCCUUCCACCUUGGCCUCCCAAAGCAUUGGGAUUACAGGCGAGAGCCACUGGUUGGCUAAAAUAUUUAUAUUUACCUGACAUGAUUUGUUGAUUUGGGGGCUAGGGAGUUCUUAAAACAACAAUAAAAAAUCUUCUGUGGCUGCAUUCUA